CGAUAAAGGCAAGGGAAUUGCAUUCGAGGACCAGUAGUCUUAAUACUUUGAAAAUCCGCACUCUAGACAUUGUGAGUAAACUUACUGUCAUUUUAAUUAUCUAGGGUGGUUUUUAGAUGAUUUCAUGAAUUAUGUGGAAAAAGGGAUUUAAAAAGGUAAAUUUUCAUAUUUUAUGAAUAAAUGUGUUUCAAUGAAAUUAAUUUAUAAAUUGUUUUGAAAAAUAGAGUACACAGAGACUGCUAUUUGUUGCAAUUUGAUUGUUUAAAUUAAUUGGCUUAUGAUAAAUUGGGCAUGAUUGGCUGGUUGGCAAUUGUAUUGAAAUACGGAUUGUUUGUUUGCCUUGAAAGAUUGUGAAUUACAAUAAUUGCCAUAUCCUGUUAUUGAAUUUUAUUGAUUGGUGGGAUAAUUAUUAGUUUACUGCAGUAGGCGGGUUCUGUGGACCAGCCUAGGAGAGGGGCACGGUAACCCCAUUUAUAUGUGCUCACCUCGGGUGUAGAGGUGCGUAGGGUAGCUCCUGGGGUGAUAUUUGAGUUCACUUCACGCCGAACCACCACGUUAUGGUGAACUCAGCCAACGCCAAGGAACAGCUGUGUUUUUCUCAAACUAAAAAAUAUGUUUAUGUAUGUAUAAAAUUUAUUUUCAACAGCCUUGGCGGUCUCGGUAGGAUGCCUCGGCCAAGGUGUCCCCGAGGAUAGAUUUAUGGCAUAAGCCUAGUUUUUAUGAGAUUCAUAAGCCUCGUUACGUAUUUUGAAUGAAAUGUGUUCUAAUGCUGUGACCUAGUUUAUGAUGAUUUACUUUAUCAUCUCCGUGUACUCAACUCUAGAUGUUUAUGAUGAUGUCUAUUUACUCAUUGAGAUUUUAUAAUCUCACCACCCUCAUUUCCACCCAUUUCAGGCUAAGUAUAAGUUGUAGAUAGCUAAUAUCAUAGAAGGCUACAGUUGGCUUUACUUCCUCAAAAACUAUAGGUUUGCAGCCUUCGUUCAUUUUUGUCAUUUGGGGGUCCAUAUGUCACUGUAAAUUAAAUAUCAUACUCUAGUUAUCUGUACUACUGUAUGUAGAAAUUUAUUUUGCUUUUACACUGUAAAAAUUAUUUACGCAGUAUUCUAAAUAUAUUAUUUUAUAAGAAAGUAGAAUAUUUUGUUUAAUAUUUUUAUUUUAUUCUAACAGUCAUGAUUUCACUUUAAACAAAUGUUUUAAACAUCUAAAUUUAUUUUUGAUUUUGAAAUAUGUGUUUUGCACUUAUAUACUACAUUAUUAGUUGGUAUUGAAUUUUUUUUUUUAAAAUGACCGAAAUACCCCUGUGAGACGAAAAUUAUUAUUUUAUUUGUUUUGAGUUGGAAACAGUUUAAAAUAUUUUAGAACAUGAUUUUCAGCAAUGGUUACUCACGGGGGAAAUGAGAUACUGAUAUUAAGCCUUGUGGGGUCCUGGUCGACAUUCCGG
rnacentral:lncRNA from 1 species